rnacentral:snRNA from 1 species
UUAAAUGCGCAGUGGCAGUAUCGUAGCCAAUGAGGUUUAUCCGAGGCGCGAUUAUUGCGAGUUGAAAACUUUUCACAAUACCCCGAUAUGACAGCUUGAAAUACCGGCUGGU